rnacentral:rRNA from 1 species
AUGGAUGAGUUUAGAGACUGUUUGGAGGAUUGUGGACUAGCAGACAUGGGAUUCUUAGGGUAUCCGUUCACAUGGGAUAACAAGAGACAGGCGGAGGAAAAUAUUCAAGUUAGACUUGAUCGAGCAACGUGCACAUCGUCAUUCAUGCAAAUGUUCCCGGCUUCGGAAGUACAACAUAUUCUAACGGAGGAGUCUGACCACCAGGCGCUCCUAGUGCGGGUUGCGUCGACACUGGUCGGCAACUCAGCGAGAGCGCAGCGGCCUUUCAUGUACGAAGCUGCAUGGGCCAGACACGCGGACUACGAAGGCAUGAUAGCCAAUGCAUGGGAACAGGCCCAUGCGGCCAAUCACAUGCAGCCGGGCCUGGUGGCGGCAUGCAAGCAGCUAGGCUUGAUGGCCAAGGCAAUGCAAAAGUGGAGCAACGAGGUGUUUGGGUCAAUAAAAAAACAAAUUGGGCACUUGAAGUGGCAGCUACGUGACGCGAAGGAACGGGCCCUGAGGACGGGGUAUAGGCAGGAGAUAAAGGAUAUUGAGGACCAGUUGCAUGAGCUAUACGAGCGGGAGGAGAUAUACUAUAAGCAAAGAUAG